UGGAUUUACAUGAUGGGCAAGUAGCCUUGGUCUCCUGCCUCUUCCAUUUUCAUAUGGUAUAUAUAGUUCUAAAUUCAGUUUAACAUGAAUCUUGAUAAUACUUUGUUGAAGUCGAAGUAGGAAUUAGGGCCAGGUAGAAUUAAAUUGCAACUAUUAGCGUAAUUAGCAUUGAUACCUCUGUCAGAGGUAUUCUAAGGAUUUGGCAUCAAGCACUAAUUAUGAAGAUUCAGUUUUCAUUGUGCCCACUUGACGUUGUCAGCGAUAUCCUUUAUGCCUUACAAUCCAUGUUGUUGUAUUCUUUCUUACCACAUCCAUUGUGUUGUUUUGUUAUGCUAAAUUAACCACAGGAUCGGGAGUAUGCUAUCAGCAAGAUCCUUUAUGCCUUAUAAUUCAGGUUGUUGUAUUCUUUCCUACCACGUCCAUUGUGUUCUUCUGUUAUGCUAAAUUAACCACUAGAUCAGGGGGACAGCCACCCAGUAACUCUUCCUUAUCUUCCCUCUCCUCUCUUAAACUUUCUAUGGUUCUUGGUUUGAUUCUCAAAGAGCUCGAACUCGUCUUGAGUUUUUGAUUAUGACCUUCCCUAUUUUGUUGCUACAGAUUACUGUACUAAUGUCUUGUGUAGCAAAUAUUUACUAAGAUGGGAUAAUAGGUAUACUAGUUUUCUAAUUCACGACUUCAUGUGAUUUCUUCCUGGUCUAUGUCAAGUCAAGUUAUUUUUGUUCUGAAUAAUUUACUAACACAGUGCAGGUUCAUGUGCAUAGCAAGUGUUAAAAAAGUCUCAAUUAUCUGCAUGGUAUAUCUAUUCAUUAUCUUUUCCAGAAUGAAGUGAGGUAUGGUCCGGAUCAAUGAACUCGAGAGGCGGCAGUGGAUCCCUAGGUUUUUUGGUUUCUGAAAGAGAAAUUUGUUUUGGCUUUUUUCUACACGCAUACCGUCAAUAAUGGAGAAUCAUGUGCAGGAAGUGAGAUUUGAGAAGCACUAGGGUGCGACAGUGGAGGAAGUAAAAUAUAUGUCGGAGACGGCCAUGAUGGCAUGAAUAUGAACCGUCCGGUUCUGAGGGGCAUCGAGAACAUCAUCAGAGCCCCUCAACAGCACCUGGUUCUGAGCAAGAGGGGGCUGGUCAGCAUGUUUGUGACAUGUUCUUCCAUGUAGUUAACUACUAUUCAAACCUUGGUUUUCUGGAAAGUCAAUGCAUUUUUAAUAGUAACUGAUUUGUGAUUCUUCCAUGUUUUUGGCUUAGGUGCAUAUUUUCACAUGACUCAUGCGCGGAGCCAGCGGGUCUGAGGAUUGAGCUCGUGCCCAAGCAGUAGAGCGAGGGAUACUUAUGAAACAUAUAUGUUGUGCCAAUGCAUCGUUAGGUGAACAUCUUUCUAUUUCACAGGUGAUUUACUUUCUUGACUUGGUGUGGCAUCUGUAAUUGCACAAGUGUGUUGGGUCAUAUUGAAAUAGUGUGGAUAGAUCAAUUUUGUUUAUUCAGAUCUGUCAUAAAUUGUCAUAUUGAAAGUUAGGAGGCUCACUCGUGUAGUUUUAAAAUAGCAAGUAGGUCUCCUUGGUAUACUCAAUACCCGACAGUGUUUGCAAUGCAAUAGUUGGUCAAAUACUGGACCUGGAUGUUAUACUCAUGUAGGAGUUUACGUCUAUUGCUACCUCUUGAGCAUUGUGUUGGUUUUCCCUUGAAGAGGAAAGGGUGAUGCAGCAAAGUACCAUAAAGUAUUUCCUCAGUUUUG
rnacentral:lncRNA from 1 species